UCCUCGGUAGCUCAGUGGCAGAGCAGUUGACUGUUAAUCAAUUGGUCGCUGGUUCGAAUCCAGCCCGGGGAG
rnacentral:tRNA from 2 species